GGCAAGCUGGGCAUGCUAACUGGCACCGACUAGGCCUACGGCCCCAGCAGGAGGAGCCCGCGCUAGGCGACCCCCUGCGCUGCCAGCUGCGGCCGGGCGGAGACCGCGCCUCGGCGCAGGGUGGCUCUGCCAGUCCCUGGGCGCCUGGGCGGCCGCACACGUGUCCAAGCGUCACGUCCGCGCGCGCCCCCGGGGCUUGCGUCAGCUGCCGCUCCAGAGCCGGAGCUCUGCGCACUGCUCGGGUUCCGGGCCCCGGACGCCGCCAGAAGAGGGUGCCGCGCGGAGUCCGGGGGCGCAGAGAGAUCCUCCGAACGCGGGGGGCUGAAGGUAACGCCAGCGCGGUCCAGCCUUCCCCCACGGGACGCCGACGGUCUCCGAUCUCCCGUUCGGGACUGGGCGCCGUGGCGUUGCUCUGGAGCCCGCCGCCCGCGGGGCGCGCACCGCCUUAACCUCGGCGCCCCCGCGGCAGGCAGGCGCCCGCAGUUCCAUGGUUGGCUCGGAGCGCAAUGAGCCGCCCGUCCUCCACCGGCCCCAGCGCUAACAAACCUUGCAGCAAGCAGCCGCCGCCGCAGUCCCAGCACGCUCCGUCCCCGGCUGCGCCCCCAGCCGCCGCCACCAUCUCGGCUGCGGGCCCCGGCUCGUCCGCGGUGCCCGCCGCGGCGGCGGUGAUCUCGGGCCCCGGCGGUGGUGGCGGGGCCGGCCCGGUGUCCCCGCAGCACCACGAGCUGACUUCGCUCUUCGAGUGCCCGGUCUGCUUUGACUAUGUCCUGCCACCCAUCCUGCAGUGCCAGGCCGGGCACCUGGUGUGCAACCAAUGCCGCCAGAAGUUGAGCUGCUGCCCGACGUGCAGGGGUGCCCUGACGCCCAGCAUCAGGAACCUGGCUAUGGAGAAGGUGGCCUCGGCUGUCCUGUUCCCCUGCAAGUAUGCCACCACGGGCUGUUCACUGACUCUGCACCACACGGAGAAGCCAGAACACGAAGACAUCUGUGAAUACCGUCCCUACUCCUGCCCUUGUCCUGGUGCUUCCUGCAAGUGGCAGGGGUCCCUGGAAGCCGUGAUGUCCCAUCUCAUGCACGCCCACAAGAGCAUCACCACCCUUCAGGGAGAAGACAUCGUCUUUCUGGCUACAGACAUUAAUCUGCCCGGGGCCGUUGACUGGGUGAUGAUGCAGUCGUGUUUUGGCCAUCACUUCAUGCUGGUGCUGGAGAAGCAAGAGAAGUACGAAGGCCACCAGCAGUUCUUCGCCAUCGUGCUGCUCAUCGGCACCCGCAAGCAAGCCGAGAACUUUGCCUACAGACUGGAGUUAAACGGGAACCGGCGGAGACUGACCUGGGAGGCCACGCCGAGGUCCAUUCACGACGGGGUGGCCGCAGCCAUCAUGAACAGUGACUGCCUUGUUUUUGACACAGCCAUAGCACAUCUUUUUGCAGAUAAUGGGAACCUUGGAAUCAAUGUGACUAUUUCUACAUGCUGUCCAUGAUGCAUCAUGUGGAGUUCAUAAACUGUUGAAAUCAUUUGGGCAUAGUGCUCUAUGUUUAUUAAAGGUUUUUAUAGAUGUUUUAUUCAGUAUGCCUUCACAAGUCAGGAUCCACAGUUUCCCCAUGUUUUGUUUAAAUGGCAGCUCCCCGUCUCACACCCACAACUGAAUUGGCCUUGACCCAACAAAGUUUAUUAAACUGGGAUGAAUGGCCUGUUAGCAAUUUGGAGGCUGUUCUGGGAUCUGAAAUAAACUUCAUUAAAUUUUAUUUACUUCCUGAACAAGACUUGAAGGGUUGCUUUGAGGCUCCUGCAGACCAUUAUGUUGAAAUGUGAGGCUCCUUCCCACCUGCCUUCCCAUACUGAUCCCUCAACGUUGACAAAAGCACAGCGACUGUCAAUAGAUUCCUUGGCUUUACUGUUUUUACAGGGUAGGGAUUGUUUUCAUGCAUUUAAAACAAUGUUUCUCAAAUUGGACGACUGACCAGCGUGCAUAGAAUCACCUGGAGUGCUAAUCAUAAAAAGGCAGAUUCGGGGCAUCUGUGAACUUAACAGUCUCAUCAGGCGAUUCUUUUCCACCUUAAGGUUUGAGAAUUACCAGGUUAAAUUUGUGGAAGUUUCCAGAUUUUAAAGAGUCAGAAGAAAGAGGCUCAGCUGGUGCUAAUAGCCAGAGGACUAGAUUUGCUCCAAGAUGACCCACUCCCCCAGCCCCAAUCCAAGACUCAAGAGUUAAUUCAGAUAGCACAGGUGCUCAGUGAGGACUGAAAGCUGCUUACCAUCAGUGGCCUGAUGCCAUUAGAGUUGCACCAAGAGGGAAUGACAGCUUUAGAGUUCACUUUGAUUUUGUUUUUUUUUUUAAGUAAGAUUCAGUGGCAAGUUCUUAGCCAGCCUAGAGUUCUGGCAGUUAAAGAAUUGCUAAAAUAACCAAGCUUCUAGACUAUUCUUCAAAUGAAUAGUCCUGAACAAAAGUAGGUGCUUACAAUAUCUUUAGUGAAUGACUGAAAAUUGCAACUCUCAUCAACUUAAUGACCAUGAAAAUCUACAUUUCAAGCCUGUGCAGAGUGGGAUCCAUGGAGGUGGGACAAGGUUCCACAAGCAGGUAGACUUUGACGCUCUUGGUGGCAGAGCUGGUCCAGAUACAGCUGCCCAGUGCAUGCACGGUGCCCUGGCAGCGCGUUCCGAGCAUAAACUAGCCAGCUUGUCGACAUAACUUCUUAGCCAUCCAUGUCUUACCUGUGAUGGAGGAAAUCAGGCAAGAUUCGUCUACAGCAUAAAACUGAAAUGUACCAAACAGAAGACCCCGAAGAUGGAGAUAAUGGAAUCAAGUUAUUCCAAAACCAUGGACUUUCAGAUCUUCAGCCCAAAAAGGUAAAACAAGUGAUGUGACCUGUCAGAGGAUCAGUAGGUAUAAAGAAAAAUGUGGGAACUUUGGAGAUAAACAGAUCAGGACUCAGACCCUGGCUCUUCCACUUCCUAACAGUAAAGCUCUAGGCAAGUCACUAACCUCACUGUGCCUCGGUGGUAGUUAGAAGUUGUAUGUACCCCAGAAAAGCUCAUGUUCUUUUAAUCCAUCCCUGUGGGUAUAGACCUAUUGUAGGUGGGACCAUCUGAUUAGGUUAUUUCAAUUGAGAUGUGACCCACACCAUGCA